rfam:Capsicum annuum cultivar Zunla-1 chromosome 3, whole genome shotgun sequence
UCAAAGGCCUUUUUAGAGGCCAAUGCACACUUAAAGUUAAGUCCAAU